rnacentral:rRNA from 1 species
AUUGAACGCUGGCGGCAGGCCUAACACAUGCAAGUCGAGCGGAUGAAGGGAGCUUGCUCCUGGAUUCAGCGGCGGACGGGUGAGUAAUGCCUAGGAAUCUGCCUGGUAGUGGGGGAUAACGUCCGGAAACGGGCGCUAAUACCGCAUACGUCCUGAGUGAGAAAGUGGGGGAUCUUCGGACCUCACGCUAUCAGAUGAGCCUAGGUCGGAUUAGCUAGUUGGUGGGGUAAAGGCCUACCAAGGCGACGAUCCGUAACUGGUCUGAGAGGAUGAUCAGUCACACUGGAACUGAGACACGGUCCAGACUCCUACGGGAGGCAGCAGUGGGGAAUAUUGGACAAUGGGCGAAAGCCUGAUCCAGCCAUGCCGCGUGUGUGAAGAAGGUCUUCGGAUUGUAAAGCACUUUAAGUUGGGAGGAAGGGCAGUAAGUUAAUACGUUGCUGUUUUGACGUUACCAACAGAAUAAGCACCGGCUAACUUCGUG